GAAAACAACACCCACUAUUCACUUUUGCUGCCACCAGCUCCCACUGGGAAAACUACAGACUCUGAAAUACCAAUCCUGAAUAUUACCUUCAGUCAGAAGCACCAAGGCAAGACACCAGUGGUUUAUAGUUUUCAAGUGCAGACAUGGAAGUUGGAGCCAAAAGCAUCUCCCCAAAUGUCACUGUAAAAGAUCUGCACCAGGACAGGAUGGAGCUUUCUGAGCCUCCAGGAAUUUGCUGUAGUUCCAUGUCAUGCGUGAGGAAAAACCCUCCAGCACUUGGAGCUAUCUCUGAAGGAUAUUCUCCCUUU